rnacentral:lncRNA from 1 species
CCGAGGGCUUUGGGCGUGUGGCGCGGGCUCUUGAACAUGAAGACUUCCGGGGCUGCGGUGGGUGGGGAAGUCGACCGGCUGCCUCGUAGCGGAAAAGUGAGCGAGGCAGAACAGUUUACGGUCUUCACGGGUAGCUUUUUCGAGGGUAGGGUCCGUUCUCAUGCUUGGCGAAGCCCGGGAGGUGGAGCCUGAUCGCAGCCAGGCCCUUGCAGCCUGCGGCGGUCCGUGAACGCCGGCCUCUCCCUCAUCUUCCAGUAAGCUUAGGUCUGAGGUGGAGGGCGAGGCAUGGUAUGUUUGACAAGCUGGAGAAAUAAGGGGACUCAGACUUCGCAAAGCAGUUACCAACCUGUUGGAGUAAAUGCUCAACGUUCAGCUUAAAUGUAACUCAAGUUUUUAAAGCUUGGCGUAGUCUUUCACGGUUGAAAGACUAGCAGUUUUUUCUCUUGAAAGUUACCCAUUCGUAUUGAUUAAUAUUUCCUAACCUGUACCCGGAGCCAGGACCCAUGCUCACAGCCAUCGCAAAGUCGCAAAGGGGGAAGAAGGUGAAAACCAACAUGCUUAAGAUUUGCGACCAGAAUGGCAUUCCCUAAACUGUGUUCUCUGAAACAUCAGGCCUCUGCAAAAUGUUAAUAGCUGCUUCGUGGAAAAAAUUUACAGCAUCAAUACUGAGGAAAACACAAAUUAUUGGAAGUACACCGGUAUAGCAUUCUUGCCAAAAUGUUUGGCCUGAAUCUGUGAAGAAACACUCAGAUAAAUUCAGGAUGUGAUUUUCAUGGACUUUUCAGGAAUGUCAGUAUCAUGAAAGGCAAACAACAAAAGACAGAAGGACUGAUCAUCAUUAAUGGUUUGAAAUAUUCAGGAUUAAGAAGUUGGGGAAAAGGUAGGUAACAACUAUCUUUAAAAAAAUGUAUUGGUUAUGUUUAUAAGAAAAUGCAGAAUUCAUUUAUGUACAUAGUUUUCUUAUAAUCUGACCUUGAAAAAUAGUGUACCAUAUUUAAGAACUAUAGGAAAUCAUUUGAGAAAUGAUCUCAUUCUUAAAAUUAUAAUAUUGAACCUGUACACUGAGGUCCAUUUGACAACCAAAUUAAUGUUAAUGUAUACUAUUUCCCCUGCUCUAUAUUCUGCAUUAGAAUUUUAACAUAAAUGCAUUCUUGGAAUCUGUCAAUCAUUUUUUGAAUGUUUCUUUAUGCCUGCAAAUAUAUACUGAGUGACUGCUGUGUGCCAGCCGCUAUAGUAGGUUGUGGAGAUACCUGUCAUCAAUUCAGAUAAAAUCUCUGCCCGCACAAAACUUAUAUUGAGGGAUCAAGAAGAAACAGUAAAUAAGCAAUACAUAUCAAAUGAUUAUAAGUGCUAUGUAGAAUAAUAAACUAGAGAUUAAAGGUUAAGGAGUGCCAGGUAAAAAUGGGCAUAUAUUUUAUGUAGGGUGGCCAAAGAAGAACUCACUGAGGUGACCUUUCCUUUUUCUGGCUACACCUGCAGCACGUGGAAGUUCCCAGGCCAGGGAUUAUUCUGUGCCACAGCAGUGACAAUGCUGGAUCCUUAAUUCACUGAGCCGCCAGGGAACUCCUGAGAAGGUGACUUUUGGGCAGAAGCCUGAAGACUGAAGAAAGCGAGGAGUGAGCUGUGGGUGUCUAAUGAAAGCACAUGUGGAGAACAUAGUAACUGUUAGCUAUUACUACUGAGUUCCCCUUUUGGCUCAGUGGUUAAGAAACCUGACUAGGAUCCAUGAGACACAGUUCGAUCCCUGGCCUUGCUCAGUGGCUUAAGGAUCCUGGUGUCAGUAGCAGACACAGCUCGGAUCCUGUGUUGCUGUGGCUGUGGGGUAGGCCGGCAGCUUCAGCUUUGAUUUGACCCGUAGCCUGGGAAUCUCGAUAUACUGUGGGUGCAGCCCUAAAAAGAC